rnacentral:lncRNA from 1 species
CAGGCAUCUACGCCACUCGCUCUGGUGGGACCCUCGUGCUUGUGGGGCUGGGCUCUGAGAUGACCACCGUACCCCUACUGCAUGCAGCCAUCCGGGAGGUGGAUAUCAAGGGCGUGUUUCGAUACUGCAACACGUGAGUAUGCUGUGGGUGAGCCGGGAUGCCCAGCCUCCAGCAAGACCAUGGCAGGCCCCACUCAGCCUCUGGCCCAUGAGUCUCUGCCUGUUUGUUC